AGAGUUUGAUUCUGGCUCAGAUUGAACGCUGGCGGCAGGCUUAACACAUGCAAGUCGAGCGGGGACUUCGGUCCUAGCGGCGAACGGGUGAGGAAUGCUUGGGAAUCUGCCCAGUAGUGGGGGAUAACGUUUCGAAAGGAACGCUAAUACCGCAUACGUCCUACGGGAGAAAGGGGGGGAUCUUCGGACCUCUCGCUAUUGGAUGAGCCCAAGUCGGAUUAGCUAGUUGGUGGGGUAAAGGCCCACCAAGGCGACGAUCCGUAGCUGGUCUGAGAGGAUGAUCAGCCACACUGGAACUGAGACACGGUCCAGACUCCUACGGGAGGCAGCAGU
rnacentral:rRNA from 1 species